AGGAAUAUUGGUCAAUGGGCGCAGGCCUGAACCAGCCAAGUAGCGUGAAGGAUGACUGCCCUAUGGGUUGUAAACUUCUUUUAUAAAGGAAUAAAGUCGGGUAUGGAUACCCGUUUGCAUGUACUUUAUGAAUAAGGAUCGGCUAACUCCGUGCCAGCAGCCGCGGUAAUACGGAGGAUCCGAGCGUUAUCCGGAUUUAUUGGGUUUAAAGGGAGCGUAGAUGGAUGUUUAAGUCAGUUGUGAAAGUUUGCGGCUCAACCGUAAAAUUGCAGUUGAUACUGGAUAUCUUGAGUGCAGUUGAGGCAGGCGGAAUCCGUGGUGUAGCGGUGAAAUGCUUAGAUAUCACGAAGAACUCCGAUUGCGAAGGCAGCCUGCUAAGCUGCAACUGACAUUGAGGCUCGAAAGUGUGGGUAUCAAACAGGAUUAGAUACCCUGGUAGUCCACACGGUAAACGAUGAAUACUCGCUGUUUGCGAUAUACUGCAAGCGGCCAAGCGAAAGCGUUAAGUAUUCCACCUGGGGAGUACGCCGGCAACGGUGAAACUCAAAGGAAUUGACGGGGGCCCGCACAAGCGGAGGAACAUGUGGUUUAAUUCGAUGAUACGCGAGGAACCUUACCCGGGCUUAAAUUGCAGAUGAAUUACGGUGAAAGCCGUAAGCCGCAAGGCAUCUGUGAAGGUGCUGCAUGGUUGUCGUCAGCUCGUGCCGUGAGGUGUCGGCUUAAGUGCCAUAACGAGCGCAACCCUUGUUGUCAGUUACUAACAGGUUCCGCUGAGGACUCUGACAAGACUGCCAUCGUAAGAUGUGAGGAAGGUGGGGAUGACGUCAAAUCAGCACGGCCCUUACGUCCGGGGCUACACACGUGUUACAAUGGGGGGUACAGAGGGCCGCUACCACGCGAGUGGAUGCCAAUCCCCAAAACCUCUCUCAGUUCGGACUGGAGUCUGCAACCCGACUCCACGAAGCUGGAUUCGCUAGUAAUCGCGCAUCAGCCACGGCGCGGUGAAUACGUUCCCG
rnacentral:rRNA from 1 species